rnacentral:lncRNA from 1 species
UGGGAGUUGUAGUCCGAAAACAUCUGGUGGGCCGAGUUUGCCUAUGCCUGCACCAGGGCAUUAAUGUGCAUGUGAGUUGCAUAGAUCUGAUUUUUCAGUGUGCAUUUUUUUGUGUGUGCACUUUUGCCCACAAAUUUAAAUCUCUCUGUGUUUCCCUUCCACAUUGGGCAGAGCUUGACUGGAUGCAUUUGUGCUGUGUGGUGUUGCCUCCUCCCUUCAGUUGGAACUUUCCUGAUUCCUGCAAGUUCUGGAAAUCUGAGACCCAUUGUAGGUGUGCGUGCAGGUAUUUGUUUACCUGUUUUGCCUCUAAUUGCAUGACAACAAACUUCCACCCUAGCCAAUGUUUCGUAGCAAAUGAGCCAGAUUUUAAUUUUAAUGUUUUUUGAAAUACAAGUUGUUUUUUUGUUCCACCAGAUUUGUGCAAGAUAGCAGCUCUCCCAUCCCUCGAAAAGUGUUUUUUGAGGUAGAGAACCAGCAGCCCACCACCUUAUGAGGCCGAAUAACAACCAGGCAGGUGGAAUUACUGGCGCCCCCGAUCUGCAGACCCUUCCAAUACAGAGCGCUGUGAGUCAGCUCAGAGAAGAGCCUAAAACUGUGCAUUUAACGCACAAGCACAACACACUAAGGCAAGACAGAGAAAGUGAUUUGUGCAAGCCUGUUUUCCCCCCGCACCCUGCCCGUUUUUCCUUUCCUGCCUCCUGUACCUGCAGAGGCCAUUUUUAUUUUUAAUACAUCGUGGUUUUUCGAAUGAGCGUUUUGAAAACAAUAAAUACUGCAAACGUGCCUUCAGCAGCGACAGAAGGAGGUAGACACCCUGGAGCCUUUACUGUGAACUGGUGGGGAAAUGGCUAGGGCUGUGCUCAGCUGAUGAGCAAAACACAAGUGGGCAUUUUGUCCUAAGAGUGCACUUGGUGUGGCAAGUCCCCACACUUGUUGCUUCGGUGCAUCUCCGUUCAAGUAGCAAGUCAUUUUACGUUGGAUUGUUUUCUUUCACCGAAUUAUCCAGAUUGGAGAAAUCCAAAUUAGUUGGAGCGGAAAGUGCAGGUUAGCCACUUGAACGAGGAUGAUACAUGAAUGGUGUGGAAGUUUGCAUACAUGGGAUGCCCUGAGUCCACUUUAAACUGCCACAUGUACAUGCCCUAAGUAAGCUUCCUUCCAUACCAGCCCUUUUCUGUGAAACGGCUUUUGCUAUGUUACAUUUUACAGAGAGUCCAGAGGUGCAAAUCUCUGCAACCCUGUGUUUGUAUGUUUUUUCAGCCAUGAUUCGUAACGGAUUCUAUUUACUUUUGCAAUAAAAUGUGCAACUGCAGCACUGUCCUACGUGGAGUGGAAAAGAUCUGAGGAAGCUUCUGGGGGGUUCUUACGCUUUUAAUUAAAAGUUUCCUUUUUGCAGGUCCUACGUGUUUUAUUAAAGGGACGUAGGUGGUGCUGUGGGUUAAACCACAGAGCCUAGGACUUGCCGAUCAGAAGGUUGGCGGUUCGAAUCUCCGCGAUGGGGUGAGCGCCCGUUGCUCGGUCCCUGCUCCUGCCAACCUAGCAGUUUGAAAGCACAUCAAAGUGCAAGUAGAUAAAUAGGUACCGCUCUGGCGGGAAGGUAAACGGCGUUUCCGUGCACUGCUCUGGUUUGCCAGAAGCGGCUUAGUCAUGCUGGCCACAUGACCCAGAAGCUGUACGCCAGCUCCCUUGACCAAUAAAGCGAUAUGAGUGCUGCAACCCCAGAGUCGGCCACGACUGGACCUAAUGGUCAGGGGUCCCUUUACGUUUUACUUUUACAUGUUUUAUUGCUUCUGGUUGAUCAAGGUUGCAGAAUUAGUGAAGAAUAGCCUCUUAAUGCCCUCAAUGUCCGUUUCUGUUCCUGUGGCUGAAGGUGGGGUGAUUCUUCUAACACCAAAAUGAGGCUCUUUUACUACUUCUUCUUUUUAGGGUUAAAAUGAGGAACUCAAUCAUCAAACCUACCCCCAGCCACUAAAAGUGACAUUGGGGGAAUUGAGGGACUAUCCAUUGUUAAUCCCCCAGCUUCAAUCAACCAGAAGCAACUAAAAAGGGAGGGCUUGCCAACAGGAAACUCUUCAUUAAUGUUGCAGACAACCUUUCAUAAAUGGGAACUAGUUUUAAGUAAAUACAGAAGAACCCUUGUCAUGGGGAAUGAGUAUCACUGGGUUACUAGCAUUACCUUAAGGAAUGUGCAGAACCUGCAUUUCAAAUUCACUUCCAGCUAAUCACAGACAAGCAAAGCCUCAGCAGGACUCUAGUGUGGAUGCAAGCAACCUAAAUUCCUGCCCUAAGCAGCAACACCCACAUUCUAUCAAACUGUCUCCACCAGAUCCCUCUCUAAUCCUUUCUUCAAACCUCCCAAGGAAGGAGAACAGUGGGCUCCUGUUCUGCCGGUGAUAUUUCCCCCUAUUUAAAUCUAGUUUCCUUUUAGUGCUGGGCAACUGUUUGGCCACAACUUGCUGCGGUGAUCUGUGCAGGUUUAGGAAUAAUGUGAUCCACCCCAAUUUAAGGCUGUGCAGCGGCUCAAAGUUUCAAGAGGAACAAACAUUUUUGAGAAAGCCAUAGAACAGGUAU